UCCAAGUUCAAAGUGUAUCUUUCACUUUCUCCCAACACAGAUCUUGCCAUUUGGACUGUCUGCAGCACCUCCUAUCAAGGAAAUAAAACUUCCGGCUCAUGAAUUAAAAGCACCCAGUGCUACGGGUAAGAAAAAAAGAAGCAGAACCAGCACUGGGACUUUGAAACCAGCAAAGGUUGCAAAAAAAAAAAAAAAGAGGAUUAAUGAGCAUCUCACCUCAAAGUUUUCUACUGAAGACUUAAUUUCCUGGAAUCCUGUGAACAGAUCUGAAGUGCUAUUCCAGCAAGCAGCUGAAAUGCUAGAUUCUCCUCUCCCUAAUGAGGACAGCAGACUCCUACAGACCAAUGACUGAAAAUACUGCCUCUGGUAAGUGCACCACCCAUUGUAAAGGUAGUAUUUGUAGUUAUGUCUCUUAUGAUGUUCCAGCCGUCAAGACAAAUAACACCCUAACCAUACACACAUAUCCCUCAGAUUGUUUAGUGAAAUAUUGUCUUUCAACUGCUCCGAUUGAAAUAGCAAAUGACAACUAUUUCUGUAAAAACUGACAAUCUGAAGAAAUCCUUCUGAAGCCCUCAUAGGAGCCUUACAGAAAACAAACUAACUUCAGUGAGCUGCUGUGCUGGAUACCCCACCAUCUGGGUGGGUAAGUAGCCUGGAAAGAGCAAAUCUUGUGCUCCUUCAAGCUCGAGUAACAAAAAGGACUCUGUCCUCAUAUAUCAGCAUGAACAAUUGUUCUGUCUGUUCUUAAUAACAACAUUAAUGCAGGGUGAUUGACUUCCAGAGGUGCUGAUCAUUUUUUCCUAAGCCAACUACUUCACUGUCAACCUCAUGCCAUUGUCAUUGUUCAUAUGAAAUGCUUCCCACUAUGACCAGCAAAGAAAAAAAGGAUUCAGUUGCUUUUCACCAAUCCAGCUAUACCAUCACUGCUUUUAAUAAUGAGGACCUUUUUGAGGACUUUUAGAAUUACCUCCAUUUGGGUAUUCUCUGAUGUCAACAUGAGACCUCUUCUUCAAUAAUAUUACAUCAGCUCA